rnacentral:rRNA from 1 species
CGGAGGGUGCAAGCGUUGUUCGGAAUUAUUGGGCGUAAAGCGCGUGUAGGCGGCUUUGCGAGUCGGGUGUGAAAGCCCUGGGCUCAACCCAGGAAGUGCGCCCGAAACUGCAUUGCUUGAGUACCGGAGAGGGUAGCGGAAUUCCCCAAGUAGAGGUGAAAUUCGUAGAUAUGGGGAGGAACGCCGGUGGCGAAGGCGGCUACCUGGACGGAUACUGACGCUGAGACGCGAAAGCGUGGGUAGCAAACAGGAUUAGAUACCCUGGUAGUCCACGCUGUAAACGAUGAGAACUAGGUGUCGUGGGUGUUGACCCCCGCGGUGCCGUAGCUAACGCAUUAAGUUCUCCGCCUGGGAAGUACGGUCGCAAGACUA